rnacentral:lncRNA from 1 species
CAAAGAAGAAUGGGGUCCAAUUGACUGAUAAAGAUGAAGUGCAGUCUCCAAUAGUCCUACCCAAUGAUGAUGACACCCACCAAAUCAGGAAGCGUGUGGAGAUCCAAGAGGCAGACACAUCUGAUUAUAAAUGCUAUGUUCACCAUGGAACAUUGCUGAAGCCAAUUGUGGGAAAAUAGGAUGGAAAAUGCUGUGACUAGCCAUGUCACAGGUGGUGUCAUUGGUGCUGUUGUGGUCCUUCUGCUCGUAUUGAUCUUGGUUCCUUUGAUACUGUUUAUUUAGAAAAGGAUAAUAUCACUCCUGGCGCAGAACCUGCAAUUCCCCAAAAUCGACCACAGUUCUGCAACGUUCACCUGUGGGCCACCGCUCUUCAAGGCCAACCUCUGCUGCUGUUAGGCCAUGACCAAUGGGGUAAAGACCCAUGAGAGACGGUCCCAGAGCAUCUCAACCUGAGGAGCAGUGAAGUCUCCACAGAGAGCUUCAGGGUCACCUGGGAACACUCAGGCCAAGACGUGCUCCUUUACAGACUGUUCUGGAUCCCAACCAGAGGGGGAGACACUAAAGAAGUCUGUCUGUCUGUCUGUCUGUCAGGUUUUCUGUCUGUAUGUUGAUCUUGGUCUGUUAGUUAACCUCUUCCAAGCCAGUCUUCAAUGCGUUUUCCCUGUUGCUUACUGAAUCUCUCUUCCUCUUUUAUUUUCUCCCUCCCUCUCUCUCUGCAUAGGUGAAGAUGCGGAGGAAUGGUAACAUGAACACCUACAUUGAAUACAAGGAGGCAAGUUUGAAAGUGACACCAUGACCAUCAAAGUGUCAACAGGUAAACUACAGGAUAUAUAGCUAAUGUAACCGCUCUCAAAAGACUUUGUAAUUGCACUUUUGCACAUUGAGCAUAAC